rnacentral:ncRNA from 1 species
UGAAAUCUGAUGACGGGAAAGAGUAGUUCGUCCGGACAUUCCCAGAGAACCGGCGGCUGGUGCGAGCCGGUAAUGAAUGGCGAUUGAAAAUCAUCCCCGAAGAGAAGUGCUGAAGCAAGAUUAAGCACUGACGAUUUUUCCACGUUAUAGGAAACGCGUAUGUUGGUACGUUGUAGAGAGCCUGGUUGCAGCAAUGCACCGGGAAUCAGGGUGGUAUCGCGGAAUAGUACUCCGUCCCUCAG